rnacentral:rRNA from 1 species
CAUGGUAGAGACGCGGCGUACGGCUCAGUAACAUGUGGCUAACCUACCCUUAGGACGGAGACAACCCCGGGAAACUGGGGCUAAUACCCGGUAGAUUAGGAGGCCUGGAAUGGUUCCUAGUCGAAAAGGCGUUGAAACCAUGCUUUUCGACGUCGCCUAAGGAUGGGGCCGCGCCUGAUCAGGUUGUUGGUGGGGUAACGGCUCACCAAGCCUAUAACCGGUACGGGCCGUGAGAGCGGGAGCCCGGAGAUGGGCACUGAGACAAGGGCCCAGGCCCUACGGGGCGCAGCAGUCGCGAAAACUCCGCAAUGCGCGAAAGCGUGACGGGGCUACCCCGAGUGCCGUCCGCUGAGGAUGGCUUUUCCCCGGUGUAAUGAGCCGAGGGAAUAAGGAGAGGGCAAGACUGGUGUCAGCCGCCGCGGUAAUACCAGCUCUCCGAGUGGUAGGGAUGAUUAUUGGGCU